rnacentral:rRNA from 1 species
UACGAAGGGGGCUAGCGUUGUUCGGAAUUACUGGGCGUAAAGCGCACGUAGGCGGACUACUAAGUCAGGGGUGAAAUCCCGGGGCUCAACCCCGGAACUGCCUUUGAUACUGAUAGUCUCGAGUCCGGAAGAGGUGAGUGGAAUUCCGAGUGUAGAGGUGAAAUUCGUAGAUAUUCGGAGGAACACCAGUGGCGAAGGCGGCUCACUGGUCCGGUACUGACGCUGAGGUGCGAAAGCUAGGGGAGCGAACGGG